rnacentral:rRNA from 1 species
GGCUUAUUGAUUAUGAUUUUAAGUCUGACCUGCCCAAUGAGAUGUUGAAUGGCCGCGGUAUAUUGACCGUGCAAAGGUAGCAUAAUCAUUAGUUUUUUAAUUGAAAGCUGGAAUGAAGGGUUUGAUGAAAAAAUAACUGUCUCUAUAAAAAUUAAUUAGAAUUUUAUUUUUAAGUUAAAAAGCUUAAAUUUGUGUAGAAGACGAGAAGACCCUAUAGAGUUUAAUAUUUUAUAUAUAUAUAAUUUUAGGUAUUUCUAGAUUAUUUAAAUAGAAAAAGUAUUUUGUUGGGGUGAUAAAAAAAUUAGAUAAACUUUUUUUGUGUAAGACCAUUAAUGUAUGAAUUUAUGAUCCUAAAUUUUAGAUUAAAAGAAUAAAUUACCUUAGGGAUAACAGCGUAAUUUUUUUUAGAGUUCUUAUCGAAUAAGAAGAUUGCGACCUCGAUGUUGGAUUAAAAUUAAUUACUGGUGUAGAAGCUAGUAGGAUUGGGUCUGUUCGACCUUUAAAAUUUUACAUGAUCUGAGUUUAAACCGGUGUAAG